AGGCUGCUCAAAGGCCCAUCUCUAGGUAAUUCUAGAUCCUGUCAAGUUGGCAGCUAAUACCAUUACAGUUCCUUUCUUUUUUCAAUAUAUUUACCCACUCAUGUUCAUACCAUCAUUAGAAACAAAAACUUGUUUUAAAGUAGAUGAAAGGAAAAUAAAGUGUGCAAUUUACAGUGGGAUAGUAAGCAGCCUUAUAAUGGAAGAAAAAUUUGAUAAAUACUACAAAAUGGAUGAGCCUUGAGGACCUAAUUCCAAGUGAGCCACGGAAAGGAAGUGACUGGGCAGAACCGAACAGAGUCUGGGGCAAGGAUGACUUCCAACAGAAGGAAUGGACUGCACGGGCCUGUGCCCAGUGAUGGCUCACAGACAACAAGGACCUGGGAGAAGUCCUCAGCGGCCAGCCAGGAGUGAGCCGGGAGGAGAUGAAGAGGAACUGCGCUUCCAGGACCCUCUUUAGAAAGAAAAGGCUUCCGAGGGACUUCAGAGGGGAAGCAGAGAGGAGCUGUUUCUUCUCUGGACGAGUUCAGUUAAGAUUAAACACUGUGACCCUUCUGCCUGA